rnacentral:lncRNA from 1 species
AGGGUCUACAAGGAUUCCCAGGACCAGCCGGACCCCCAGGACCUGAGACUGUUGGAGCGCCUGUGUGUAGAUUUUUGUUUUCUACAAACAUAAAUUUGUUUAUUUCAUUGUUUCGUAUGAAUUCCUGAUUAUAUAAAGAACAGCCAGUUUAAAACUCAAAUGUCGUGGUUUGUAUUUUGCUCUUUUAGGGAUUUCCCGGUAAACCUGGCAUCCCAGGAGACGAGGGGAACAUCGGCCCUGAGGGACCUCCUGGACCAAGAGGAUCCAACGGACUUCCAGGACCUCCAGGCCCACCAGGACCCCCUGGACCUGCAGGGUCUGGUGGUGCUGGGAAUCCUGAAGGAAGCGGGGAGACUGUGAGUGCUUCUAGGCUUUAAUCUUUUCUCUUAAACAGCAGCAAAAUCUGCCCAAACCUU